rnacentral:lncRNA from 1 species
UGAUUUGGGAGUAUGAGAAAGUUGAACGAAAAGAGUGAACUCUUGUGCUUAAUUGAUUAGUCUUUAUGGGAUAAGUAGAGAAACUUCUAGCUCAAUUUGUGAAAAGUCUUGGCCCCCCCCAAAAAAAAAAAAAGAGAAAGAAUAAAGAAAGGGGGCUAGGAAAAUUAGUAUGAGCUAAGAGGUGUUCAAAAAGUGUAAGAAAUCCCUUGUAAAAAAAAAAAAAAAAAGAAAAAGAGUUUUAUGUUGGGAAAUGCUUUUGAAGUCCUUGGGUGAGAGAUGUGAGUUGGGUUUGGAAUGGGGAAAUGAAUGUGUAUCAUAUAUGUUUGGGAAAAGGGUAGAACAAUGGAGAUUGAGCAUUGUAUGC